ensembl:lncRNA
UGAAUCUUGACACGCUUAGAACAGAAGAAAGAGGAGGAGGGGGAAGUUGAGGAAGCAUACACUGCAAGAGAAGACGAGGAAAGAGGCCCAGAGGAGCAGCUCCAAGAUCCAGGGCAUCCAGACGGAGAGCUGAGACCCCUAAUAAGAUCACGGUCACCAAUGCCCAGGAGGACAGCAAGAAGUCCGGAAAGAGUAGGAGGUGAGCAAGACAUCAUUACCAUUACUGAUCUAUCUCUGAAAAUGAAUGAAGUUCGAGGUCUGAGAAAAGACUUUUCACGCCACCCAAAUGAGCCUAUUGUCUCCUGGUUAUUUUGACAGUGGGACAAUGGGUCCAACAGUGUGUGGCUAGAUAGUAGAGAAGCUCGCCAACUGGGUGGCAUUGCUAGGGACUCAGCCACUGACAAAGGUAUUAGUACAUGCCAGAAUGGGGCCUUCACUCUCUGGAAGUGGAUGCUGUUAGCCGUGAAAGACAUACCCCUUCAAAGAUGACCUGAUGCCUGAGAAAAAGAAAUGGAGUGAUAUGGAAAAAGGCAUCCAUUAAUUGAGAGAAUACGCUGUGGUGGGAAUGUUACAUAGUCCCACUUUCAUUCCUAACAAGCCAGACCAAGAGCAUGAUCCUGAGAGAGUCAGAUAUACACCAAAUAUGUGAGGUAUAUUCACAAAGACUGCACCAUUCGCAGCAAUGUAUGGCAGAGGGGAAAGAAGAGCACUUACAAAUGAUCUGAUUAAUAAACUUCAAGACUUUUAGUUACAUUUAACCCCUCUAUGAGCUUGUGUUUUAGCCAUUGCAAAAGUAGCUGAAAAACUGGACAGAAUGGAGAGCAAUCAAGAAGAUAUAAUAGAUGAACUGUCUACCGUGCUCAGUGCUGAUGGAUGCAUGGUGGUAUCAGAUACAUCCAGUGGGGACCAGGAUUCCAAAAACAGCCUACUGGAAGGUCUGAUCAAAUUGGUUUCCUCCCUGCAUCAUCCUGCGUCUCCCUGCAUCAUCCUGCAUCAUCCAACAUCUCAGCUAUCAAAAGAAGACUUGCUCAUGCAAGUGACUACAGUAAGACAACGUCAUGUUUUGCCUUGCAGCAUUACCUACAUGACCAUGGAGAAGAUAAGAAGUGGCAUAAAAAACCCACUCCUGCACUUCAAGCACGGGUAAAAGAAUUACAAGACAGAUCAACCACCAAGGUGAACAUCUCCAAAAACGUGAUUGCUCCAGUUGCUGCAGGACACAGCAAUAGCCUACCUAAAGGAAACCUACAAGAAGGCUGAGAGGAACUCUUCAUUAGGCAGCCUAGUGAUAGGACAAAGGCUAAUAUCUUUAAACUAGAAAGAAAGUAACUUCGUAUUAGAUAUUAGGAAGAAGUAGGUAUGGUGAUGCCCUGGAAGAUGUUGCCAG